GACCGCUCUGGUGGUCUAGUGGUUAGAUGUCCGCCUCGGAUGCGGGAGGUCGUGUGUUCGAAUCCUACAGAGUCA